rnacentral:rRNA from 1 species
GACGAACGCUGGCGGCGUGCUUAACACAUGCAAGUCGAACGGAAAGGCCCUGCUUUUGUGGGUUGCUCGUGUGGCGAACGCGUGAGUAACACGUGAGUAACCUGCCCUUGACUUUGGGAUAACUUUAGGAAACUGGGGCUAAUACAGGGUAGGAGCUCCUGCUCCAUGGUGGGCGUUGGUAAGUUUCGGCGGUUGGGGAUGGUCUCGCGGCUUAUCAGCUUGUUGGUGGGGUAGUGGCUUACCAAGGUUUUGACGGGUAGCCGGCCUGAGAGGGUGACCGGCCACAUUGGGACUGAGGGACGGCCCAGUCGCCUACGGGAGGCAGCAGUGGGGAACAUUGCACAAUGGGCGGAAGCCAGAUGCAGCAAUGCCGCGUGCGGGAUAACGUCCUUUGAGUUGUAAACCACUGUCGCAUGUGACGAAGCGGGAGUGACGGUAAUGGAUAAAGAAGCACCGGCUAACUACGUG